ACGGGUGAGUAACACGUGGGUGAUCUGCCCUGCACUUCGGGAUAAGCCUGGGAAACUGGGUCUAAUACCGGAUAUGACCUCCUAUCGCAUGGUGGGUGGUGGAAAGAUUUAUCGGUGCAGGAUGGGCCCGCGGCCUAUCAGCUUGUUGGUGGGGUAAUGGCCUACCAAGGCGACGACGGGUAGCCGACCUGAGAGGGUGACCGGCCACACUGGGACUGAGACACGGCCCAGACUCCUACGGGAGGCAGCAGUGGGGAAUAUUGCACAAUGGGCGAAAGCCUGAUGCAGCGACGCCGCGUGAGGGAUGACGGCCUUCGGGUUGUAAACCUCUUUCAGCAGGGACGAAGCGCAAGUGACGGUACCUGCAGAAGAAGCACCGGCUAACUACGUGCCAGCAGCCGCGGUAAUACGUAGGGUGCAAGCGUUGUCCGGAAUUACUGGGCGUAAGGAGUUCGUAGGCGGUUUGUCGCGUCGUUUGUGAAAACCAGCAGCUCAACUGCUGGCUUGCAGGCGAUAUGGGCAGACUUGAGUACUGCAGGGGAGACUGGAAUUCCUGGU
rnacentral:rRNA from 1 species